UUCUGCAAUCUGGGGUGGUUAUUCAUUAUCUGCAGAAACACAGACAAAUCUCUUAAUCCUUUUGGGCCUCUGGUGAACGAUGUAAUCUUUGUGAUCCCCUUCAGCUCUAAGAGCUUAACUUAAAUUCAGGGUAUUGGGUUUAUGCUGGAUACAAUCUUAUAUUUGUACACACAACUUAGCAAAAGAUAUGCUCCAUAAACUUCCAUAUAACUUUCUGUAAUGAAAUUUAAAUGGACCUAAUGUUUCCUCAAACUAUACACACUAAGCUAAUAACUUGAGUCUCUGGAUUAAUUUAUUGAGCUUUUCUAUAAAGCAAAAGUGAGUUUCUAACAGAUGAGAGAGACAAACAAGUACAACACCCCUCCCCCAUCAUUGUAUCUUCAUUCAUUCUACUGUUAGAGAGUAUGUUAUUUAAAAGUUAACCAAAAAAAAAAAAAAAAAAAAAAAAAAAAAAAGGCCUGGAUAUUUUUCAGUGCUGUUUCCAGUCCCCAGAACAUAUAACAAAUUAUAAAGUUAUUCUCUCUUAGCUUAACUAAGGAGGGAUGGGCAGAAUAAAAAAUUCCCCUGCAAACCAGAAAAUUCAGCCUAAAUGACUGACUGACUGCAGUUACUCAUACUGAUGGGUUAAUUAUUUGGAUCAUUUUACAUAAACACUAAUUGCCCAUGUUAAUUUCAUAUAGAGGCCUCCUGAAGUUAAAUCCUUAAGCAACCUAACCUAGCUCAAUAUCAAGUGCUACUCUGUAUGUCCUGUGGUGAUUCACAGCCUUAACAACUAUAGAGAACAAAUCUGCAAUAGCCAUGCUAAUUUUUUCUUACUAUUUACUGAGGUCCAUGUAUUUAUCUCCCAGCUUCAUAUAUAAGAUCAAUGAACCUGCGUGGCAGCUCUACUUCCUGACCACAGAGAAACAGCCUGAAGUCAAAGGAUGGAGGGCUUGCCCAGGGCUUUAGAUAUGGUCAGUUGUAAAGGUUUUACAAAGAUUUACAAAGAUUUAGACCUGCUGGUGAAUGAUGGGAUGUGAUUAGAAAUUCUGGAGACUAUUUCAAUCUUUUUUUUUCUUUCUUUACUUCCUAUUAGAUGUCCUUGCAGGGCCACUCAUACAGAUGUGCAGAGAAAUGCUAGGAUCCAGUCAGAUAGAAAACCAAUGCUUGUGUUUGAAUGCAGCAAAUGGCAUAGGUAUGCAUUUAUGUAAGUUUUCAGAGAUCUCUGGACCCAAUCAGUAAGGAUACUUGGACUUUCCAGACCAUAGAAUUCCCCACCUUUUAUGUAUAAUAAACACAGCUUUGGAGAUUUAGAAAGACCACAUCAACCUGUUCAGGGCAGAGCAGCAAUGGUGGGAGAAAGGUGCUGAGCUGUUUGCAGUGACAGCAGGUUUGUUCCCUCUUCCUUUGAACUUCUGCCCUGUACUGAGUGAGGGGGUCUCCAUUGAACUGCUCAGACUCUCCUCUCAGUCUCUCUUGCUAUACAGUAGGAAUUAAAGCGGGACCUACCUCACAGAGACCAGGUACUGACAAAAUGGCUUAAUCUACCUAGGAAGUGCUCGUAUCAGGUUUGGCACAUGGGCAGUGCUAUGAACACUUCAUUAGUUUCAUUUCCAACGAUAUCAAUGCUAUGUACACUUAUUUCAUAUGGGCUUCUUUUUUUUUUCUCUCCCAGAAUAAUUUUAGGUUUUAAAAAAAAUCCAAUGUGUAAUCAGUAGAGUACAGUGGCCCAAAGUGUGACUUCCAGGUCUUACAUAACACUGCCUGGGUUUCUCAGUCUGUUAAAUAGCAAUAAUAAUAGCAUUUGACUCAUAGGAUUAAUUAUUCAAGGGAGGGCUAAAUAAACUAAUAUACUUAAAGGACUUAGAACAAUUCUUGGCACACAAAAAUUUCAGUAAAUGUUAAGAACUGUUAUAUAAGCAAAAUUCAGAAAAGUAAUUAGUAGUCUAAAUUUAUUACCCAGUUGUUAGGGACAGAGACAGAUUUAUUGUAUAGAGAAGUCUUAAUAACUUAGGUGUAUUGGAGAGAAUAUAUCUUCAGAAGCGAAGCCUUGAGCAAGGAUGUGAACUCCUUGUGGCACAGGACCGUGAUGUUACAUAACGGUGGCCGAGUGCCCAAAACCCAUCACUACACUUGGCUGCCAUUUGUUCCCUGUGCACUUACUGAAGCUGGGCACAUCCAAGAGCCCAGUAAGCUUUUGAGGUCACAGCCUGUCCAUCAGAAGAGCUGGGGUCAAGAUCAAGUGCUUGGUCCACACAGACAUGUCCGCUACUGAUUUUUAGUCAUUGUGGGCUACUCAAAACAAUGAAUUUUUAAAUUUUCCAAGCUGAAGGACUUAAAGCAAAAACCCUCUUACAAUAUCAAUAUGAAAUCAGUAUAUAAACUUGUGUUCUAAUUACAUGGUAUUUUGCCAAGACAUUAAAAAAGUUACCUCCCUCUAAUUUACAAGUGAGGUCUUGUAUGAACAAGUGGAGCAUACGGUGGAUAAUUUCCUCAUUCAUAACAAAUAAAAUGUAAGCCUAAU
rnacentral:lncRNA from 1 species